rnacentral:rRNA from 1 species
GGAAUACCCGCUGAACUUAAGCAUAUCAAUAAGUCGGAGGAAG